rnacentral:lncRNA from 1 species
UUUUUUUUUUUUUUGGAAAAGGGUGUUGUUUUUUGUUUGUUUGUUUUGCUCUGCAGUUUCCUUCCAGCCUCAAUGCAAUCCACUUCUCAGUUGUUCAUUAACUAGAGCCCCCCAAAAGUUAAUGGCUUCUGCCUGAAAGUCCAAACACCAUUCUGUAUAGACAUCCUCCCUGUCAGGGUUCCUGUUCUGAAUGACAUCACUUCCUACCCACCAGUGUUGACCUUUCUUGGAUACUGACUCAAAUCAGGAUAGAGAUUACCAGGUUCCUCUGGGCCAUGGAUAGAGAAAUCCUCUGGCUCUGAGAAAGGAAUAAUACACAUCUAGGGGACAAAACCCCAGUCACACACCCAGCCCCUGCUCCCUGUUCUUUUUCAUGAGCCUGAGUUUCUGUGGACCCAUGUCCCAUCAUGUGAAGUACACAUUCAUUCCUGCUUUUCUCUUUCCACCCAAUUCUUAGUAUUUUGUGCAUAUUUUUAAUAUAAUGUUUUUCAUUUUUUUCCAUUUAGAAAACUAUAUAUAGAACUAUCAUAUGACCCAACCCCACUCUUAGGCAUAUUUAAGCCCAUACUACAACUAUUCGUUCAUCUCCAAUCCAUCUUAUUUAUCUCCAUCAAAUUGAUCAUUCCAGAAUUUUACUUUCUUUAUCCUACCCCUUCUCAAAAACACUUUAUAAUUUCCUUUUGUCUGAAAUAACCUAAAAAAUAGUAAGCCUGACAUAGAAUACCCUUCAAAUACAAUGUUUUGGUUCACUGAGAUUUAUCUCCUCUGUAUUUCCUCACUCCUACCCCAUAUGCUUAUUCAGUUUGAUUGGUCUUUAUUCUCUGAUCAUUCACUUUGACUCUCCUCCAUAACUGAAGAAACUCCAAUCCCCUAUUUCUUCAUCUGUUUCCAUUUAUCAGGUUUUCAAGGCUUUUCCUCCAUAAAUAUUCCCCUUUUAAAGAAUCCAGUUGAAAGAAACUUUUGAACUCAUUGAGUCCAAUAAUUUGUUUUAUGAUUUGUUCCCCUGUAAAAUAUGCUUUGUUAAUGAUUACCUAGUUUAUGAAGUAUGCAGGGAAAUUAUUGGUACCAAGGCUAUGAUUGUGUCCUACUCAUACAUUGUCAGUGUCUGAUAUAUUUUAGAAACAUUAUAUUUGCUUGAAAUAAGCAUCAUAUUUAUUUGCUAAGUGAAUGAGUGAAUGAAUAAAUGAAUUAAUGUCUAUCUCUUGAGGUAGGCAUCAGCAAAAUUUUUUGUAAGUGGUCACAUAGCAAAUAUAUUUGACUUUGUGGGAAUAAUAAUAAUAAUAAUAAUAAUAAAGAAAAGAUGAUGAUAUUAAUAACUAGUUUACAAAUAAUAAAGCAUGUACAAUGAUCCUCAUCAAGUGCAUUGUGUUACCUUUAGUUCAUCACUCAGUUACUUGUGAUCUUUCUCUCAUCCACUUUCAUCAUAUUUUCUCUUUCCACAUAUGCACUCAUUCUGAGAUAUUUAAUUGAGUAUUUACCAUGUGCUGGUUACUACCCCAGGCAUGGGAGAGCCAGUAAUGACAAAAAAAUAGAUAUAUACCUCUUGCACAGGGCUGACUGUCUGCCUGGACACAGGACACAGGUGCACUGUGCAAUUCCUGAACAGUCACCACCAAUUCCACAUUUUGUGCCAUCCCAUGUGGUCUCUAGGAUCUUCCUCACUGGUCCAAACAUAAUGCCAUCGAUGUUGAGUUUUCCAAAUGUUCCCUGAUAUCUGCUUCUGGCUCACAUUUGUGAUUUCAUUCUUUUUUCCUUUCUCUUUCCAUUUAUGUUCUGUCUUUUGGAAAACUUUUGGUUCCUCUUCAGGGGUGUUGGCUUGAAUUGGCCCUAUCUACUGUCCUUGUUUUGGACUACCUCAAGUUUUUGGGGGGUUUUGAUUUGUUUUUGUUUUUAAAAUAUAAUUGAUUUAUAACAUUUCUUCAGUCUCUGUUGUACAGCAAAGUGACCCAAUCACACACAGUUCCAUGUGCUGUAGAGUAGGACCCCACUGCCCAUCCAUUCCAAAUGUAGCAGUUUGCAUCCACCAACUUCAAACUCCCCAUCCAUCCCACUCUCUCCUCUCUCCUGGCAACCACAAUGUUUUACACCCCCUUGUCCUAGCUUGCCUCUUGAGACUUAACUUGUAACUCAAGUCAAGGAAAAAAAUGUUGCCUGGAAACAGAAAACUAGUGGGAGAAAAGGUAUAAAACCUGGCCUCCUGACUUCUCAUCCAGUGCUUUUCUAACUACAUCACUCUGCUUCCACAAAGUGGUAGAAGAGCAUGAUUUCAAAUUAGGUAGCCUGGGCUACAUCUGCCAGCUCUGUCAAUACGACCAGACCAAACAAACUUAAUACACAUCUGCCUCUAUUUUCUUACAUCUAUGCCUCAGCAAUUCUUAUAGCCUGCCUUCCCAUUGCCAAACUAAUUCUCUGGAUCCUUGCUCAUACUAGUUUCUAUAAAAUUUAAUCCACAAAUUAUGGCAUUGCCCCAACACGUCUGUGUUAAUUUAAAAUUAAAGAAAGGGAUGCAACACCAUACAUCAACCAUACACUAAUAAAUUUUUUUAAAUGGGAAAAGAAAAAGAACAUAAAGUGUAAGGCAACAGAGGUAUUGAAGAGAUGCAAUAUCUCAAGACAACAGCUCUGUGUAGCCAAAGGAAGGCUAACAGGAGAUGAAGGUGCGUUACUGUGGAUUGUUGCCAACUGAAUUCAAUUGUACACUUAUGGGUAUCCAUACAAAUCCACACCCACACAAGACUGAUUGGAACAAUGUGGCCAGUUAGGUCCAUAUAUCCCAAGUAGCCUGCAUCACUCCUAUACCCAUCAUCACACCAGGCACAGCCACCUUACCAACAUAACCCACUGGACUCAAAAGACAAACCUCCAUUCAUAAGCUAAGAAGCUAAGUGGUCUACUAGGAUGGUGGCUCCUGUCAAUAUCUGACUUCCCUUUCAAUAGGUACACAUUCUGCUUGUUCCUAGCACAUACACUUUAAUCAGGCCUCUACAACAAUCCUGUGGCCACCCUUGGUGUCUUUGACACUUACACUGGCUAUGAAAAUGCCAUACCUGUGAGACUAGUAGAUUCUGACCAUACCAUAAUAGCACUUGAGACCAAAAUCUGCCAUGAUAUGGGGAACAAGGGUACAUGUUGAUGCACCUGAUGGUUGCUGUGCUGUGAAUAAUAAACUGCCUUGCUCUGAUCCAUUAAAAAAUUAAAGUGUUUCAAAUAUAUUAUUUAAAAAACCUAUCAAUAUAAAAUUCUUACAAUGGCUUUUUUCACUUUGAUAAGCUCUGUUCUGGAGAGACUUUAGGGUUGCAAAGUUAAGCCCAUACCUUUGUAUGUAAGUUAAUCUGUCUGCUGCUCUACUUUGUGCAUGUACCAUUGUGAUAUUAAAUGUAGCAUAUCAUGCCACUCUCUGUACUGGCAGUCACUGGACUACACUGUUCUGGGUGUCAUGGGAAAAGACUGGCUCUUUUCCCUGAACCCAAGAGUAUUACUCACUAGAAUAGAAACUGGAGAGCCAGUUGCUAGUGCCAGAUACUCUAAUUAUAAGUCCAGGUAAGCUCCUUGUAAGUAGGUCAUGUACCUCUUUGAAUCUUCCACAACCCCAAUUAUAAUGAUUAAUGAACUGAUGUAGAUGUAUGUUACUGUCUUUCUGAAAUGUAUAGGUUUACAUAUUAAUGACUUUGCUUAAGAAUAACAAAUGGCCCCAGAAUAAGUUUAGAAUGUCUGACUCUACAGUUCUACAACUUUAUCAAUCAUUAGGUGAACAAUGGCCUGGAUCAGGUGUUUCUGGAAUUCUGAAAGUCUUUAACAUAAAGCUCACUGAGAAGGGUAGAGUGUGCAAAACCUCUGACACAUGCUGACAUGUGCUAAGCACGCAUUAGCUUCCUGCUUCAUUGGAAGUGUUUCCUAUACUCCUUGCUUUGCUGUAUGGACCCACCAGAACACAUGGGAUAUAAAAUGCAGCUUCUCUGGGAAGGUUCCUAUCCUCCACUUAUCACAAGUGAAAAUCUUUCCCAUCCCUCUGAUAUUUGAGAGCUUCUCAAAUAACCCCUCUCUCCUGCUGCCAAAAUGGGGUAAAUAACCUUUUGUCCACUAACUGAAGACACGAUAACAUGAAGUGGAGUAGGUGCUUCCUUGAUGUAUAACAGUUUUUUCUGCCUCACUGUGGCCAGGUUGGGUACAUUUCUUGGAAUUUUCUUGUCUCUGUUUUCUGUCAGAGGAAUUUUAUCUGAUUUUAUCUAGUGUUUACUUAUAGUUGCAAGUCCUUAAUGCAGCAUAGCUGUGGAAUAACAAGAGUAAACCAAUAAAUACCACCUAGGUUUAAGUAGAAGAGUAUAACAAUGUCACCCAGAAUUAAGAGUUGGUGAAUGAAAUAAAGUAAUUAAUGAUGUGGAAUUUCUUCAGGAACAGCAUGAAGAGAUACAGUAGUUUCCAGAAAAGAGACUACAGAGAGACGGUGACCACUGAGUCGCACCAUUCACUGGUUGUAAAAUCCUAACGGCAUUCUCUCAAAAUUGCAUAGAAUUAGGCAACUUCUGUGUUCUGAUUGUAAAGGCUGCCUGAAGUAAUAUUUUACUGGACUGUAAAUUGUUCUGACUACAUUUCAUGCCUGAUAAAAUCCUUACAUUUAUGUUAGAAAAUGUAAGCCUUUGUUCUGUAACUAAUCUUUUAAAUUUUCUAAAACAGAGAAGUCUUGAUUUUUUUUUCCUCGAAAAUGGCAUGAUUGAAAGUAUAUGGUUCUUUGAAAAUAGGCUAGCAUAAUUAGGGAUUUAGGUCAAACUAAUCUUGAAAUUAGUCUUGCGUUACAUUUUAUGGGAUAUAUAUGCACAUAUAUUUUCUUAUAAUAUUAUAAAUUAUAGAUAUGUCUUUACCAAUUUAUCUUUAUCUGGAAUACAAGGGUUAUAAAUAUAUUAGUUUUAUGUUCCAGUGGCAGUGUAAUUUUAGAUAUUAGGUGACACUGAAGAAAGCUUUCUGACUUAUAGGCUUAUAAACAUAUUAUUGACUAUGUUUCCUAACUAAACAAAAAUAUAUUGAAAAUUAGAUUAAACGGUUCUUUAUGGGAGAUAGGAAGAUAUAAUGAAAAGGAUAUGGACUUUAGAGCUAUUUACAACCAUAUCCAUCUCUCAGCUCCAUGUCUUCUGAAUUUUGUGUUAUGGCUGCAGGUCAAUUUUCUUGAGAAAAAGACUCUUGGAUGAAGGUUUCUGUGCAGGAAGUUUGCUGAGGAGUGUGCUUGGGAUCAAUACUGCUAUAGGUGUCCCUGAUGGAGAGAAGGGGGCUUGGUCUUUGAACCCAUGUAUUGAUCAGUCAUGUGUUGUGAGCUGGCUGUAGGAAGGUGAAUUAUCUUUGGUGGAAGGAGGGAAGUUCCCAGAGAAAGAGCCAGCUGUGAGCCACCAGAAGCCAAUGCUUAAGGUAGCUGGGGGUGGGUGCCUAGUCCUGAAGGGGAAUCUGAACAGUGUCCUGAAGCAUCUCCUCAGUCCAUUCCUGUGAUGCUUGGCUCUUCAUGUUUCAUAUGAUAAAUUUAUUACACCUAGGACUUCAGGAUUCUAGUAAGUCACCUUUCUUGACAAAGACUCCAAGAGGAAGAAUAGAACUACAGCCUCAUAGAGUUCCCUGGUGGUCUGGUGGUUAAGGAUCUAGCUUUGUCACUGCUGUGGCUCAGGUCAUGGCUGUGGC